CCGUAAAUUAUGUAAUGAACUGCGAGAACCAGAUUUUAUACCUGAUGAAAGCCCAUGCGAAGGAUUCAGAAUUUUUACAGACAUUUCAGAUGUUGAUGGUAUAAACUUUAUUAACCGUCUCAAACGUGCCAAGACGGCUUCAUGGAUUUCGUGUUGUUCCUGGUUGUUUCUAUUUAUCAUCCAAGUAAUCAAGACAGUAAUAAAAUCACGAUCUGGAAACAGACCAACAAAUAGACAGCAACGUGUGCCAGAGGGGCAGAAGUUCGAAAUAAUUAGUUAAAAUUGAGGCGUACUGUACGUUAAAAAGCUAAUGCCACAUUUUUUUUGGUCAAAUAAUUUGAACAUUUAGGCAGUUGGAUAUGUAGCUUGUGGUAGAAAAGCCAAUUCGUUUGGAUUUAAUGAUGAUUAGUGAUGGCUAGUGGUGGCGCCAGUUGGGGACCCGUCAGACAGGACAGGCCCCCGUCAGACAGGACAGGCCCCUUUCGUCCGAAGCACAACUAGGUCGUCGAAUAAAAACCAAUAAUAAUAAUAAUAAUAAUAAUAAUAAUAAUAAUAAUAAUAAUAAUAAUAAUAAUAAUAAUAAUAAUAAUAAUAAUAAUAAUAAUAAUAAUAAUAAUAUUAUUAUUAUUAAAGGAUGAUGAUGAUGAUGAUAAUUUUCCUAUCAAAAUAACGUUUAUUUUGAUGCCAAUUCCUACUAAUGUAGUCUAAAAGCAUAUUUUGGACAAUACUAAGCCAUAAAAAACUCACCCCGUGAACCCACACGGGAGUUUUUAUUUCGGGCCGUCGACCGAGGCUUCGUUCUUCCCCUGCCUUGGACCCCUCCGUCUAACAUUUCGGACCCUUGUCGGCAGAAAUAUGGCGCCAUCGCUGGUGUGAGAUAAAGCUGUACAGUUUUGUUGAGUUUAAAUUGGUAAUAUCAAUUGCAACAAGGUUAUUGUGAAUUUUGUAGAACAUUGCAAAUCGCUGAUUUUAGUAUGAAAAUUAGGCCAAACUUAUAAGAUGUCACUGCAAGUGGGCUAGGGGUAGCAUAGCCAAUAAUUGAGGGGGGGGGGAGGUUUGUUGGAAAUUUUAAAAUACAGAUUGCAAACCGUUGAUGAUAAUUCGAAAACUAAUAAGGAAUACCUCUAUUUCGAUGUUCCUUCCAAUUAUGGUGAAUGCAAAUGCGAUGUAUCAAAGAUCGCUCUCUAAGCAAAUUGUGAUAGCCUGCCCACAAUGGUUACUUUUUUGUUAGUAUAGUACGGUACAGUAUCUCAUCUUACCUUUUUAGUUCCUAUGCAUGUAAUGCAAUAGGAACUAUUGUAAUCACUCUCACUGUUUUUCCUUUGUUUUUUAUUGUGUGUAGUAUGUGUGUGCGUAUGUGUGUAGACA